GGGGCUGUGGCACAAUGGUAGAGCAUCUGCCUGGCAUGCAGAAGGUCCCAGAUUCAACCUCUGGCAUCUCUG
rnacentral:tRNA from 1 species